GCCCUCUGUGAUCCCCCCAGGAGUAUAGACUCCUAUGUGACCUUCCAGCUCACAUCGAGGUUAAGAAAGAGCCACUGGCCGCAUCGCCAGCUGCCUCAGCCACAGGGCCUCAUAUCUGCCCAUAAGCCAGCACACACCUCGCGAUUAAUUUGGUGAUCAUGACUUGGAAAGAACCCCAGAGACCAGAGACAUAUUUAUUAAAUGCAAACUUCUAAUUAUUUCUUGGAACACUGAUGAAAACUACUCCUUAAGUAAUCUUUUUUUUUUCUUGGCUAGUGACUGAGCUGCCAUGUAGUUUUCUAGCAAUUAUUUUUAACAUCCCAAAAAUUGCCCUGAAGAUAUGCAAAACACACUUCCUACGAAUCGCACUUGAGAGAGGCAAGCAGCUCUUUUCUCUCCAUUUCAGUUAUUAAGAAAAUGGGAAGUCAAAUUUAUUGAUAAACACACUUCCACGGCAGAUCCUAAUGGGGGCAACUGCCCCCACAGCGAACAAGAAAUCAACCAGAGAAUGCAUCUUUGUGUGUCUGCCAUGACUGCCAAGGGACACGGGUUUCCGGAGUGGAGUCUUCCCCAGGGUCAAGGGGCACCAGGCUCUGGGAGCGGCUCGGAUGGAGUCCAGGGCCGUGGGAACUUACCUGCCGGCGUCCGAGGGGCAGGGCGAACUCAGGAGCUGGCGGUGCCAGGGCCGGCCCAGGAGGGUCGGCUGAGUGGAGUCAGGGUCUUUGGACUGUUGGACCACUGGAUGAGGGGGGUGGGGCCGAACGGAGACCACGGGGCCUGGAUGCUGGACAGAGGAUGCCCAAGAUGGAUGCGGGUUGGAAUUCCAGGCGCAGAAGGCCAUCCGAGCCCGGGCGCAUGGGGAAAGCUUUCUGCCCCAGGAAACUCAUUUGGAGGCCCCUCCAGGUGAUGGGGUGAAUUGGGCCUAAAAGCAGGUUCUAAGCCCCUCUUUUUAACCCCCUGUUCCCCACUCCGGCCUGCAGACCAUUACCGAGAUGAAAGCCCAGAGAAUGCCUUUGGACCACGACUGCGGGAUCUAAUUGAAUUAUAUGAACGCAGUUAAACGCCUGCUUCAGAGAGGCAGGGCUUGCUUUCAAGACUGGAUGCUUCAGGAGUUAAUGGGCUAUUUGAACAAUAUAGGCCGAGAGCCGAACACAGGUCUCAUCUCUCAUCCCUCCUCCACUGUGUGGACCGUCAGCCAGGAAUGCCUCCCUCUGUCCCCCAUGGACCCCCCUCCAUCCUGAGUCCUCAACCCUGCUGGAGUCAAUUUAAAUGCAACCUCCUCCAGUUCCACAUCCCAUGACAUCAUGGGUCACUUGAAAUCAACCACGGUUGGAGUAUUUACACCAGGGAAAUUGGCAAACUCUACAAAUCAGGGUGUGGCCACCUCAUACGAAGAGUUGACUCAUUGGAAAAGACUCUGAUGCUGGGAGGAAUUGGGGGCAGGAGGAGAAGGGGACGACAGAGGAUGAGAUGGCUGGAUGGCAUCACUGACUCGAUGGACGUGAGUCUCAGUGAACUCCGGGAGUUGGUGUUGGACAGGGAGGCCUGGCGUGCUGCAGUUCACGGGUCACAAAGAGUCGGACAUGACUGAGCGACUGAUCUAAUCUGAUCUGAUCUGAUGCUUUUUCUCUGGGGAACUGGUGGCGAGACCUGUAUCAGCACACCACUGGAUUAUAGGGAAGAGUCAAUAAUAAAGAGCACAGUGCCUGCUACCUACUAAGUGCUUAAUUAAAGUUCGCUUAGAUGAAGACUGGGCGUCCCAGGUGGCUCAGCAGUAAAGAAUCCUCCUGCAGUGCAGGAGACACAGGUUCAAUCCCUGGGUUGGGUAGAUCCCCUGGAAAGGAAAUGGCAACCCACUCCAGUAUUUUUGCCUGGGGAGGCCCAGGGUCAGAGGAGCCUGGCCAGCUACAGUCCAGGGGGUCACAUGAGUCGGGCACAACUUAGCAACUAAGCCACCAUCUCAGUGAAAAUCAUGAGUGGCGAUGACAACGAGGAUGUCAUGCUCCCCGGGCUCCAAGCCCAAAACUGUCCAGGGCAGGAUGCUCUCCUAAGCUUUAGAUCCCUGGCCCCAACUUCCCAGAUACCCCUGACUAAGAUGCCUGAGAGCCCCUUGGACUUGACACCCCCAGAACAGAAUCAUUCCUCUGGGAUUCCCCAGCUCAGUGAAUGGCAUUUCACCCCUCAGUGGCCACACCAGCAGCCUGACCAUCAGACUUGGCUCCUCCCUGACUCCCUCCCCUACAACCAACCCUUCACCACUACCCCUUACC
ensembl:lncRNA